GACGAACGCUGGCGGCGUGCUUAACACAUGCAAGUCGAACGGAAAGGCCCUGCUUUUGUGGGGUGCUCGAGUGGCGAACGGGUGAGUAACACGUGAGUAACCUGCCCUUGACUUUGGGAUAACUUCAGGAAACUGGGGCUAAUACCGGAUAGGAGCUCCUGCUGCAUGGUGGGGGUUGGAAAGUUUCGGCGGUUGCGGAUGGACUCGCGGCUUAUCAGCUUGUUGGUGGGGUAGUGGCUUACCAAGGCUUUGACGGGUAGCCGGCCUGGGAGGGUGACCGGCCACAUUGGGACUGAGGUACGGCCCAGACUCCUACGGGAGGCAGCAGUGGGGAAUAUUGCACAAUGGGCGGAAGCCUGAUGCAGCAACGCCGCGUGCGGGAUGACGGCCUUCGGGUUGUAAACCGCUUUCGCCUGUGACGAAGCGUGAGUGACGGUAAUGGGUAAAGAAGCACCGGCUAACUACGUG
rnacentral:rRNA from 1 species